rnacentral:rRNA from 1 species
GACGAACGCUGGCGGCGUGCUUAACACAUGCAAGUCGAACGGUAAGGCCCUUCGGGGUACACGAGUGGCGAACGGGUGAGUAACACGUGGGUGAUCUGCCCUGCACUUCGGGAUAAGCCGGGGAAACUGGGUCUAAUACCGGAUAGGACUCCGGACUGCAUGGUCUGGGGUGGCAAGCUUUUGCGGUGUGGGAUGGGCCCGCGGCCUAUCAGCUUGUUGGUGGGGUGAUGGCCUACCAAGGCGACGACGGGUAGCCGGCCUGAGAGGGUGACCGGCCACACUGGGACUGAGAUACGGCCCAGACUCCUACGGGAGGCAGCAGUGGGGAAUAUUGCACAAUGGGCGCAAGCCUGAUGCAGCGACGCCGCGUGAGGGAUGACGGCCUUCGGGUUGUAAACCUCUUUCAGCAUCGACGAAGCGAAAGUGACGGUAGGUGCAGAAGAAGGACCGGCCAACUACGUGCCAGCAGCCGCCGUAA